GCAAACUUGGUCAUUUAGAGGAAGUAAAAGUCGUAACAAGGUUUCCGUAGGUGAACCUGCGGAAGGAUCAUUAUUGAAUAAACCAGUGUGGGUUGUUGCUGGCCUCUUCUAGGGGCAUGUGCACACCUGCCAGUUGUUUCAUUCCCCUUCCACCUGUGCACACCAUGUAGAUCAGACCGUCACUUCAGGCAUACACCCUGUGUGCCUGGCAAUGAGGACUUGCCCUGGCUGUCCUUGGGCGGGUAUGAUCUAUGUCUUUUAACCAACUCUGUAUGGUAUUGAAUGUUUGCUUGGGCUCUAAAUGACCCAUAAAAUUUAUACAACUUUCAACAACGGAUCUCUUGGCUCUCGCAUCGAUGAAGAACGCAGC
rnacentral:misc_RNA from 1 species